rnacentral:rRNA from 1 species
CCUACGGGAGGCAGCAGUGGGGAAUAUUGGACAAUGGGGGCAACCCUGAUCCAGCCAUGCCGCGUGUGUGAAGAAGGCCCUCGGGUUGUAAAGCACUUUCAGUGAGGAAGAACGCCUGGUGGUUAAUACCCAUCAGGAAAGACAUCACUCACAGAAGAAGCACCGGCUAACUCCGUGCCAGCAGCCGCGGUAAUACGGAGGGUGCGAGCGUUAAUCGGAAUUACUGGGCGUAAAGCGCGCGUAGGUGGCUUGAUAAGCCGGUUGUGAAAGCCCCGGGCUCAACCUGGGAACGGCAUCCGGAACUGUCAAGCUAGAGUGCAGGAGAGGAAGUUAGAAUUCCCGGUGUAGCGGUGAAAUGCGUAGAGAUCGGGAGGAAUACCAGUGGCGAAGGCGGCCUUCUGGACUGACACUGACACUGAGGUGCGAAAGCGUGGGUAGCAAACAGGAUUAGAUACCCCGGUAGUC